CAGGCCUAGACUUUGACUCUCCACACUCGCUGUCACAGCCAGGAGAGUCCCUGGUUUGGUUCCAUUCCAGAAGGAUUAUAGUAGGUUGAUGCUUUCUUGAACUCCAAUGUGGUUAAAAUCAUCACCAAACACUUGUACCCAAUCAGAGGACUCCUACUGUUUGGUAUUCCAUAGACUCUCAAGAGGAAAUUGUAAUUGCCUAUUAGUCAUUUUGCAGCUGGUACCAAAUUAUGAAGGACAGCACACUCGUGUGUGUGUGUGUGCGUGUGUGUGUGUGUGUGAGAGAGAGAGAGAGAGCAAGUCAAGAAGUGGAUACUAAGAUAAUGCAGAAUGGCUUAGAAUAGUUGAGAAAAUAAACAAGUGAAAAGAUUGGUAAAUAAGAAAACCAUUGAGUCAUUUAUUUGAAUUAUACAAUUGAUUCAGAAUAGAUUAAACACCACAAAUGGAUAGAGCUAAUGCUCUUAAACCCCAAAAGAAAACGCUUUAUCCACAGUGUUGGCAAUGUUGGUUCAGUGUUAAUCCAAAUACGAUAUGAAGCUACCCAAAUUCAAAUUAAAGGGUUCUUAGUACAGCAAAAGCCAGGACAGAAUAACGAGAAUCCGCCAUCCAACCAAAGCUAAAAAAAAUGCUGUGCAUGGCUGAAACCCUUCUUUCUCAAGUGGAAACACCAACGCAUUAACAAAUAUUUAAUGGGACUUUCCAUGUGUGAGGUACUCAGAGAAGUUUCCAAAUUUAGGAACCCGUUUUGUGGCUGUCCUGAGAGAUCCUUUCACAUUUACUAAUUGCACCUCAGAUCCAUUUGUUGAUGAAAAGCACCAUGCAGAUGGAGGUCCUUUAUCAAGAUUUUACAUCCCCGCCCUCUUGCUAUUCGGCUUUGUUUUCCAACAGCAUCCAAAAAUGGGGCAUGAGCUUAUGUUCCCCUCUGCUGCCCCUUGUUCCCUUCUUCCCUUUCUCCUGCCACCAUUCAAGGGGUAGGUUUAGGUGAUCUGGCUACAGAUUGUUCAGCCCAGUUGGACCCCUUUAAGAGUUCUCCUCACCCUUUUACACUGUUGGUGGGAAAGCAAAUUAGUUUAACCAUUGUGGAAGACAGUGUGGUGAGUCCUCAAAGACCUAGAACCAGAAAUAAUACAAUUUUACCCAGCAAUCCCAUUACCAGGUAUAUACCAAAAGGAAUAUAAAUCAUUCUAUUACAAAGAUACAUGCACGUAUAUGUUCAUUGCAGUACUAUUCACAAUAGCAAAGACAUGGAAUCAACCCAAAUGCCCAUCAGUGAUAGAUGGGAUAAAGAAAAUGUGGUACAUAUACACCAUGGAAUACUAUGCAGCCAUAAAAAGGAACAAGAUCGUGUCCUUUGCAGGGACAUGGAUGGAGCUGGAAGCCAUUAUCCUCAGCAAACUAACACAGGAACCGAAAACCAAACACUGUGUGUUCUCACUUAUAAGUAGGAGCUGAACAAUGAGAACACAUGGACACAGGGAGUGGAACAAUGCACACUGGGGCCUCUGAGCAGGUAGGAGAACUUUAGGAAAAAUAGCUGACCCAUGCUGGACUUAAUACUGAGGUAAUGGGUUGAUAGGUGCAGCAAACCACCAUGGUACAUAUUUACCUAUAUAACA
rnacentral:lncRNA from 1 species